rnacentral:rRNA from 2 species
CCUGGUGAUUCAAGAAAAGAGGAAACACCUGUCAUCAUUCCGAACACAGAAGUUAAGCUCUUUUUCGCUGAUGGUACUGCGAGUUCGCGGGAGAGUAGGUCAUUGCCAGGG